CUGCCUACACACCCCCUCCUUCAUCUCUGUUAGUUUGCUUUUCAUUUUUUGUUUUUCAGCAAGGGGCUGGUCUGGCAGCAGUUCCCAAUGGCCCUGUGAGGACAGAGAUUUUGGGUCACCAACUAACUCCAAGCUCUGCAGAUCCACUCAGGAGGAAGCAGGGGAUGCUGGUCCUGGCCUGUGUCCCCACUGCAGCUGACCCGAUUUCCCUUCUGCAUGAUUUAUGCCCAAAGCAUCCAUCACCGCCACUGUGGCUAGAACCUGGCCCAGCAGCCCAGGCCUGGGUUAUAGGAAAUGGGAAAGGGGAUGUUGCAAGAAUCUGUGCAGUGGGUCUUGGCAUCCUGUGAGCCACUACAGCACAAGGUGAAAGAAUAAAGACAAGAAACAAGCCUUAGGAGAAGCUGGGUCUUGGGACCUUAUCAAUGCUGUUCUGGGCAACAAAGACAAAGGCCCCCAACUGCAUCCAGUGUUUAUUGAAUACAAUCAUGGGAAGGAAUAGGGAGCAGGGUGUGCUUUGAAGGCAUCCAGUGAAAUACUGCUGAACACCUGGCAUGAUGGCGCCAGGCAGGGCUGUUUGGGAGUUGGCACCACUUAUCUUGCUUGAUAGAACAAACUGGUACUGAGACUGGGUGCAAUUAGCAAGCAACCCCUCGGGUCACCGAGAAGCCAUAAUUCAGGGGAAAGGAUUUUAAUUGGAGUCACACUGACCUCAGCUGCACAUAACUCAGCAGAGCCCUGCCACUUCACAGGCCAGGACUUAGGCCUCGGUGACAGCCAUUAGCAAAGGAGCAAUGCUAGCCCAACUCUGCUACCUGACAGCCCAUUUGAGUCAUGCAGGGCUGUGGUCUGAGUCCUGUAUAAAACAAUAUAGCCAAAUUAAGGGAGGCAAGAAGCCACUCAUAGCCUGGUAGUACUGGGCAGGGAUGUCUGCUACAAUAGGUGACCUUUUUACCCCACUGAUGAUGUUGUUUGAUGCAGAAAAGCCUUUGUUGUGAUGUAGUUCAGGGAAAUUGACACUGAAUUUUAAAGCAUAGCUAUUUCAAUAAGGCUGUGUGUUGGG
rnacentral:lncRNA from 1 species